CACAAUGCUAAUGGUUGUCACAUUCUGCAAGUGCCGGAGGAGUGUACUGCCCGUGUCCCGCAGCCCGUCCCAGUAGGCGUUCUCGACCACUAUCUGCAGUAUAUCAGAGAACACAUUAUCACCAUCACUGAAGAAAGUACCUACUGAAGACUCACUUUCUCCGCCCUGGUGAGCAGCUGGUCGGUCACAUAGCCCCUCAUGCCUUCACGUCGCCCAAUCCUCCUCCGCAAGCCGCCCAUGACCCUCGACACCAGGGCGUACAGGCUCUGUGGGCACACAGAAAGUGUUUUCAUAAUCGCUGAGAGGAGGAUUCCCACAUACGUGUAAGUUCCGGUAAUCUGCAUGGCGAAGUCAUCAUAGAAACAAGCCAGAAGGGAACCAUAAGUGAUGCCGACCUUCCGCACCAGAAGACGCAGGCCACUGCUGCCUCCAGGAUGCUGCAUGGCCGCCGUCACCAGAUUCCCCAGUGUUCACCACUCGGCCACCUGUACUCACCUGGGACACGCUGAAGGAUAUAGUGGUUUCCAGGACGUGCAUUGCUGCCCCGGGGUGUUCAUAUUUCAGUGCCACCUCCAGGUCUCGUCCCC